GACAGAGGAUGCAAGCGUUAUCCGGAAUGAUUGGGCGUAAAGCGUCUGUAGGUGGCUUUUUAAGUCCGCCGUCAAAUCCCAGGGCUCAACCCUGGACAGGCGGUGGAAACUACCAAGCUGGAGUACGGUAGGGGCAGAGGGAAUUUCCGGUGGAGCGGUGAAAUGCGUAGAGAUCGGAAGGAACACCAGUGGCGAAGGCGGCUACCUGGCCUGAUACUGACACUGAAGCACGAAAGCGUGGGGAGCAAACAGG
rnacentral:rRNA from 1 species